rnacentral:pre_miRNA from 1 species
UUCAAGUAAUUCAGGAUAGGUUGUGGUGCUGGCCAGCCUGUUCUCCAUUACUUGGCUC